UCCCUCAACCUUGGCGCUAUUGACGUUCGGGGCAAGAAAAUUCUUUGCUGUGGAAGGCUCUCUGUCUUGUGCACAGCACCGUGUCCCCAGUGUGACAGCCAAAAAGGUCUCCAGACUUUGCCAAACGUCCCUAACGGGAGUAAAAUCACCCCCAGUGAAGAACCAUUACUCCGGGACCCCCCUCCCUGGGCCUAGGUGUGGGCCUCCUCGGAUUCUUUAUAAGCAUGGACCAGCAGCCUCACGUGCUCGCAGAGGGCAGCCCUCCUCCCUCCUUCUGGCUGCUUCUGGGGAUGGACGGGCAGAGCUGCCUCCCGGGCUAACAUGAUCACCCAGGAAGAGCCGGUCCCCACCAGGAAAUGGAUCCUAAUUGCCUCGCUGCAGCACGUGAGAAGACGGAUGUACCGGCCUCCACGCCUGGCACCCACUGCCACCCCCAUCCAUUACUGUGCAGGACAAACACGCACCUCCUCAGGACCCGAGGCAUCAGUUUUUUAAUAAUGACAAAUCUCCGUGAUUUUCCAGAAGGUCAGCCGGCCUGGGGCAGAGAGGGAGAGGUCAGCCUCUCGGGCAAGGCCACGGGACCCCGUGGCUGCAAAGGUCUUGGGUAUCAGCGCUUGGAUGUCAAGUCUUCCUGAUCAGAAACAUGCCUCCCGGGGCCUGAAGAAGGGGUCGAGUGUCUGCAGCACAAGGGAGCUGCCUGAUACAGUGAUGCAGACACAGAUGAGAUUUGAACUCCAGUCUGUCAGGCCCGAUUCCAAAGCGAAAGGUAUUAACGUCACACCCUGUCAAUUACAUCCAAAUUCUGCUGACACCCGGAGCUUUGAGGAGUGGAAGAUCACUAAUGAUGUGGGAGCUGUUCCCUUCCCUACAAGCAAGGAGAACAGCUGCCCCAUGCUGUGCCACCUUCAAAAAACACACCAUCUGAACUUUUGGUCACCGGAUGAAAGAUUAAUAAGGAGGUUCUGCUGUCCUUGGGGGUGACAAUUACCCUUUAGACACCGACUCCGGUUAUCUUCCUCAUUAGAGAUUAUUAACCUCCUCUUCCCACGCCUAUUGUUAGGACCCAGGAAGGGGCUGCUUUGUAGAUCCUGUUCUGCGUCAAUAAUUACCCAUCGUGGGAGAGGAGCACCUGUAAUGGGAAUCUUCUUAAUUUCCAGCAUUUGCCAAGCGCUUUAUAUUUGCAAACUCCCCAAAACCUCUAUUCACCGAGUUCAUUAGAUUCGCUUUUCUGGGUGAAUCCAAAAGCCACUUUGAUGAUAUAAUCAUUAUACUUUGCAUUAGUGCUUUUCUCCGGGAUAUCAGAACAAUUUCUAGCUAUUUAUCCAAUCCACCUCGCUUGUGAGACCAGAGGCCGGGCGUCAUGGCAGAAAGAAAGAAGCCUGGAUUUUUAUUGUCUCUGCCUCACCAAAACUGGAACUUCUGGAGAGGUUACGGUUUCUACCGCUGUGUAACGACCAGAGCUUUCCCACCCUGCACACAUUUGUCAUCUGUAGGUCGGAAGUCUGGACACGGCUUAGCUGGGCCCUCUGCUUUGGGUGUCCCCAGGCUGCAAUCCAGCCGGGGUCAGGGCUGCGGGCUCAUCAGAGGCUCAGCCGGGGAAAGGUCUGCAUCAGCCUCCUUCCGGUUGUUGGCGGAGGUCAUCUCUUUGUAUCUCAAGGACUGAGAUGACCAUUUCCUUGCCGGCUGUCAGCCAGGGGCCACUUGCAGCUCCCAAAGGCCACCGAUGCUUCUUUGCUUACAAGCCUUCUCACAACAUACUAGCUUACUCCUCCGAAGCAGAAAACCCCUCUCUCUUUGUUUUUUUCUGCAGCCUGCGGAGACAGAAUUUUAUAUAGUGAAAUAGAACCAUGGGCGCGACAUCCCAUCACCUUUGCCACAUUCUAUUGUUCAGAAGCAAGGCACCGGUCCUGCUCGCCCUCGAGGGGAGGGGAUGGCACGAAGGUGUGGACACCUGGAGGCGGGUUAUCCCUGGGGAUCGCCUUAGGGUCUGUCCGUCCCAUUAAGCAGAGAACCCAAGGUCACAGUAAUUGGUAAUUCAGAGCUCUGGCCAGUGUGUCCAGAACCUUCAACGUGUGCUCAUGUCCCAGGGUGGUGCCUUUCUGCCUCAGUGCCCACGUGUGUGCACACGCUCGUCUCUCCUCGUGCACCCACGCCACCUGGCACACGGCGCCACCCCCGGCAUUGCCCAUGACCCACGGCCUCCCGUCUUCCAUCAGAAGAGGUGUAUCAGUACAGGCGAGGCUGGAGUUGGGGGUCCGGCUC